GUAGAAAGCUUGUACUACUGUCAAGCUGUCCUGUGGUGAUUCAAGAGCAUGAAUACCAGCCUCAGGGCAGACUGUUAAGAAUCAGGGCACAAACACCAAAUUAGUGGGUUGGAAGAGACUGACAUGCUGAGACCCCAUGGUGAUUCCUGGCAUUCAGCUGAAACGCUGGGGCCAGUUAUCAUUCUGGAAAUAGAAAUACAAAAUCUUUCUUCUGGUCUUCACCUGUACCACCGCUCCCUGAUGCAGAAUCCUUCUAGAGCUGCCUGUGUUAUGGUUUGGAGUAUGAGUCUCUAGCAAACAUUUAAGCCUUGGGCAGGAAUAUGAGGUGCUGUGUAGACUUGUUAUCUUUGAGUUUGAAAUCAAAUUUCAAUCACUUUCAACAAUGCCUAUUCAGCAGCAAGUGCACUUAGGGACAGACUCUGCUCUCGCACUGGUGUGAAACUGGAAUUACCCCAUUCAAGUCAAUGGAAUCUCUAAGCUAUUCCUCCUAGUUGUUGAAAACUGGUGUCAGUUAUGAAAUGACAAUAGGUCAGCUAGACACCAAGAAGCAAUUAAUGACUUUCAAUUUGGAAUUCCUAUGUAGUAGUGUUCUUUGUCUGUCAGACAAUUAAGAACAUUAGAUUCCCACUCUUGGUUCUAGUUAUGUGGGUCAUGUUGCUACGUUCAAAGAAAAGCAGCUUGUUAGUGUUUGACUUGUGAUCUGAAAAGUUAAUCCUAAGAAGAGCAGCCCUGAGCUGCAUAGUGACUUUCCUGAAAAGACUGAGGAACUUAGUGUGGCAGGAAUUUAAUACCCAGAGUGAGUCAUUCAUUUUUAUUUCUUGUUCUUGGAACCAGAGCAUUGUGCUUCACCCUGAUGAGAUCAUUCUGUAUCCUGGGAGCACAGGUCACACAGUACAGAUGGCAGCAGUGACAUUUCACACAGGUAUGAGAUCAGACUCUAGGUGUCUCCGUUGGAUCGUAUCAGCUGAAGUAGCAUGCACACACUCCCUACACUCCACACUAUCUGAAAAAUGACUGGUGAUUGCCACCCUUUCACUGCGGGGGGGGGGGAGGAGAGCAGGGCCAGAACUUGACUCCCCUCUAAGAAUGACAAUUUUGUGUUACUAAGGGAGUUGGUCAAAACUUGGAAUUUCUGUUUGGUGGGAAAUGUCAUCAACAUGGAGAUAUUAUGCAAACAAAACUGGUUUUGUUUAAAUAGUUUUGUCUGAUGAAAACCUGGUUCAGUGAAAAUUUUCCAAUCUGCUCUAGUUGUACAGGGGUUAGCUGCUGUCUUGCCCCUCGCACGUCACUUGGUACAGUCCCAGUCACCCAAGUGUGACACAGAUCUACUGUCCCUUCACUUUUGUGGCUGACACUUUUGACUUCAGAUAUAAAGACUAAUGGGUCGGAGCUACUUACACCACAGGGAAGA